UACGGGGGGGGUAAGCGUUGUUCGGAAUUACUGGGCGUAAAGGGCUCGUAGGCGGCCAACUAAGUCAGACGUGAAAUCCCUCAGCUUAACUGGGGAACUGCGUCUGAUACUGGAUGGCUUGGAUUCGGGAGAGGAAUGCGGAAUUCCAGGUGUAGCGGUGAAAUGCGUAGAUAUCUGGAGGAACACCGGUGGCGAAGGCGGCCACCUGGACCGGUUCUGACGCUCAGGGGCGAAAGCGUGGGGAGCGAACAGG
rnacentral:rRNA from 1 species